rnacentral:rRNA from 1 species
GAAACCAGGUGAUCUACCCUUGGUCAGGUUGAAGUUCAGGUAACACUGAAUGGAGGACCGAACCGACUUACGUUGAAAAGUGAGCGGAUGAACUGAGGGUAGCGGAGAAAUUCCAAUCGAACCUGGAGAUAGCUGGUUCUCUCCGAAAUAGCUUUAGGGCUAGCCUCAAGUGAUGAUUAUUGGAGGUAGAGCACUGUUUGGACGAGGGGCC